AAUGUCUGAACCUUGCUCUUCUUUUGAAACAAUUUCGAAUGAAGCACCUUCAUCCUUUAAGUGGACUGAUACAUCCUCCAUUUCAAGCUCACCGUCCACGUCCUCUAAGAUGCAGUGGCGCCUGUCAUUUUGGUCGACUGUAAGCUUCUGAGCUUCUUCAGCUGUAGAAGUCAGCUCGACUGGUGAUAUAUCAGCAGCAUGUUCUUUGCAUGUAGGAAUUUGAAAUUCGUCUUCCUCAUCUUCAUCGUCGAAAACAUGAGAAGUCACAAAGCCAGGCAACUGAAAUGUAGUAUUGCU
rnacentral:lncRNA from 1 species